rnacentral:lncRNA from 1 species
UUUGUGUAUGAAUGAUAUCCUUAAAAAAAAAAAAAGAAGUGACCUGCCUCAUUCAGUGUUGGUCUUAAUCCUCUUAUUGGAGUCCUUUAUAAGAGAAUGAAAUUCAGACAAAGAGGAAAAAAGCCACAGGAUCAAAGAACCUGAAAGCAACGAAACCCAGAAGAGAAAGAAGAGACCAGUGGACACUGGCAUGUGCCUUGCCAUGUGACAGAGUCUUCACUCAUAGGUCAGGGCCUCCAUGGCCUACUGUCCUCGACAUCAAGCCUGAGGUCAUUUAAAAGAAGAGGACUCACGCUUCUCUCCUCCACUUGGACCUACUCUUGCCUCUCCUAGUCCAGGGCCAGGACAGAAGCAGCACAGCCACCCC